AUUGAACGCUGGCGGCAUGCCUUACACAUGCAAGUCGAAAGGCAGCACGGGAGCAAUCCUGGUGGCGAGUGGCGAACGGGUGAGUAAUGUAUCGGAACGUGCCCAGUCGUGGGGGAUAACGUAGCGAAAGCUACGCUAAUACCGCAUACGAUCUAUGGCUGAAAGCGGGGGAUCGCAAGACCUCGCGCGAUUGGAGCGGCCGAUAUCAGAUUAGGUAGUUGGUGGGGUAAAGGCCCACCAAGCCUGCGAUCGGUAGCUGGUCGGAGAGGACGGCCAGCACCACUGGAAUUGAGACACGGUCAAGACUCCGACAGGAGGCAGCAGUUGGGAACUUUGAGCAAGGGGCGCAAGCCUUAUCCACCAAUGCCGCGUGCAGGAUGAAGGCCUUCGGGUUGGAAACUGCUUUUGUACGGAACGAAACGGCUUUUGCUAAUACAGAGAGCUAAUGACGGUACCGUAAGAAUAAGCACCGGCUAACUACGUGCCAGCAGCCGCCGUAA
rnacentral:rRNA from 1 species